GGGAACACUACUUAUACAAAAAAAUUUGUCUCCACGAAGCAAGUUAUACCAAUGUUACUAUCUGGUUGGGGAAACAAAAGCAAGAUUCACAUAUAUAUAUAGUAUUUUGCAUGCCUCUGCUAUUUCUUAGUAGUGGAACUAUAGUUGAUAGGGAAGCCAAUAUCCUAUAACGGCCGCUUCCACUCAUCGGGAUCUCCAUGUCAGUGCCUACUCUCUCCCAUUAUAAUCACAACUUUAAUGCUUUUCCAUAGCUUUGGAUAGAUAACCUUGAAUAAUGCUAACUUUCUUU
rnacentral:misc_RNA from 1 species